UCUUCGGCUUCCGAGAUCAGCCGACGGAGAGAGACUGAGAAGCGAUUGGAAGAAAGAGAGGAGGUAGCUGAUGGCUGAAGGCUCAGAUUCGUCGGCGAUGGGGUUCUUGGGGAGGCACUACGAGGAGGUGAAGGAGCACUGGAAGAAUAAUUUUGCUUUCUUGGACUACUACAAGAAGACCUUCGGCCGCAGGAAGCCGCUCCCCAAGUGGACCGAUGCCGACGUCGAGGAGUUCAUCGCCUCCGAUCCCGUCUACGGCCCCCAGUUGAAGGAUAUAAGGGAAUCGAGGAAGUAUGCAAUUUUUGGAGCUCUACUUGGUGCAGCACAUCUAGGUGGAGUUUCCUUGAGAUACUCGAAGAGCCCUCAUGGCUUUGUUUUGGCUACUGGGUUUGGAGCCCUCUGUGGUGGUGUCUUGGGACUGGAAGUUGCUGAACAUUGGAAGCAGCUCUACAAGAUUGAUAAGCAGGCUGCGAAUCUCAGGUUCCUUUACUGGUGGGAGGACAAAACUCUAGGCAAAGUUAUCACUGGUACAACCAGAGAAGGUCAAAAUUAAUACUUGGACAAUGGUCUCAUGAGGCUGCGGAUUGAACGCAGGAAAAUACAUGCUGUCAAAUAGGACCUCAUUCUAGUUGAGAGCAUUAGCUUUUGGUCCUACCUGCAAUAAAAUGGAAAUCAAAGAAACUGAUCUUUGCUCAGGCAGCUUAAUCUCUUGCUUGUUGAAAUCACUUGACGGAGUGAAGCCUUGUCAGAAAGAAGUAGUAAAAUAAUUUCCCCUUUUCAGAAUAAAAUAGUAGCUGUGAUGUUGACGUCCAGUUAAACUGAGCAUUUUUUACAUUGAACGAAAUUUAUAUCCUCAUGAUUCCAUUAA